rnacentral:rRNA from 1 species
UACGUAGGGUGCGAGCGUUAAUCGGAAUUACUGGGCGUAAAGUGUGCGCAGGCGGCAGAGCAAGUCGAGUGUGAAAGCCCCGGGCUUAACUUGGGAAUUGCGCUCGAAACUACUUUGCUGGAGUGUGGCAGAGGAAGGUGGAAUUCCACGUGUAGCGGUGAAAUGCGUAGAGAUGUGGAGGAACACCAAUGGCGAAGGCAGCCUUCGGGCCAACACUGACGCUCAUGCACGAAAGCGUGGGGAGCAAACAGG